UCGACGUCUUUUCAUCGACGUCUUUUCAUCUUUUUGCAAAGUAUUAAUAGUAGCACACACUGAAAAUGAGUCUGUGGCGGAUUAUAUUUGCGAUGGUUCUUGGGAUAGAGAUAAGCUUAGUAGAGUACUAGAUUAAAACAUGUCAGACAUAUUAUUAGUAUUUCUUUACCUAUUUCUGAUCAAGAAGAUGUUUUCAUUUGGGCCCUUCCUCCGAUGGCAAGUUCUAUGUUAAGUCGUCUGCUAAGACAAUAGCCGACGAAAUCAUCAAUUCCGUCUGCCAAGAUUUUAGUCGACGGAACUUAGUUUACGGAAAUUACUUUUCCGUCGGUUUCCGUCGGUUAAGAAUAUUCCGUCUCUUAAGAUCUUAGUCGACGGAAGUACAAAAAUUAAAAAAAAAUUUUUACAAUAACUGGCGGUUUUUUUCCCCUUUUUUUAGGUUUUUUUUUCCUUCUCUUCCUCUUCUCCGGCAACCACGACGGUUAUAUUUGUGUGUUCCCGAACAACUCCACUCCACCUCCGACGCUAAACUCGCCGGGAUUCUACCGUCAAGGAACCGCACGUACGACGAUAUAUUGCCUUACUUAUGCCGCGGAGAGCAACCGUCCGGACGUCAACCACCUAGCAAGGAGGAGGAGGAGACGCUGCUUGGAGGAGGAGAAGGUGCCGUCGAGAAGAGGAGGAGGAAGAGUUGCGGCCGAGAAGAGGAGGAGGAGGAGGAGGCGUUGCGGCGAAAGAGGAGGAGGAGGUGCCGCGGCGAAGGAGGAGGAGAAGGCGCCGCGGUGGCUAGACGAGGAAGAGAGAGAGCAAGCAGACGAGCUAGGGAGAGAGAGAUGAAGAUGAUGAGGGAGAGAGAGCUGAAAGUUAUAGAAUGGAGACCGAAAAAAAUUUAAAAUUUUUUGGCGGGAUAACUGCCG
rnacentral:lncRNA from 1 species